UAUUUUAAUAUUUAUCUCUAUAAUACAGAAAUCGCUAUCUCAAUAUAUAAAGAGAAAAUUUGAAAUGAUAUGUAGUUAGUUACAAAAAUAAAAAUUUGAAAGUGUUAAAUUAUAUGUAUAAAUAAAAACAGAAGUUAUUUGAAAAGACAAGUUAACAAACAGAAGUAAUUGGUUGAUAAAUAAAUAUAUAACACCUUUUCUCUUUCAAUUCCAACAUUCAUUAAAUAUUUAUUCAUUUGAAAUAAACAAUGGUGUCCGGAAUGCCAAUUACCAUGCAAGCAUGCAUCCUGAACGCGAAACCUUUACAUCGUUGGAACCGCUUUCGCCGCCGGAAUUGGUGGUCUUCUCUUCGGCUACGAUACAGAGACUAAAAGUUUGUCGUUUGAAGAAGUUACAAGUCUUUGGAAGGAGAGAGCUUACGGGAAGAAUUACAACAAAGAAAGCCAUGUUGACCGAGCAACUUCAACUAAGUGAAAUGAAAUCUUUUUUGAUAUCUUUACAUAAGUUUCUUUAUUUAUUGGUUUGUUUGUUUAUGGAUCAUUAAUCUUAUUCAUAUGCUCACAA